AUCACGCAAGCGCGAAUCAAUAGUGGCAGCCGUUAACAGACAGUUCCUCCCAGGAAAAGGCACCAGAAUUGGAAAUCUGAGACUUACAGGUUGCGAAUCGAGUUCGAGAUAUUUAAUAAGUAUUUAUAAACCUUCCCUAGCCACCCGUCCAUUCUAGCGCUUUCUCCAAUGUUUCACAUCCUCACCGCCGAUAGUCGAGGAAAAGAAGCGUCUCCGUCCAUUGUUAUUACUCACUGCGCAUGUGUCAGAUGUCGGGUGGGACUGCGCAUGCGCAGCAAUACUGCGGCCUGGAUCCGGGGCAUUCACCACGUUCGGGGAUGGGAGCUGAAUAUCUUUGAAAACUUGGAGAUUUUUCUUUUGCUUCAGUUUUUCUACCUUUUUCAGCUGCAACAUCAAGCAGGAUAUUUUAAAUUUGAAAUCAAUGAAGUUGUUUCAGAAUUUCACAGGGUACUAAGAAGAGAUCUCCACAGUUUGGAGUCUGAAACCAAACAUCCCAUCAGGAUCUGACAGAGUUGUCCAAUUUACCAGUACCUGAAUAUCAUUGAAUUUUGAGCAUGGAAAGAAAAAGAACCAUUCAGUGUCAGGAGAAACCAUAUGUGUGUUCUUUGUGUGGACGAGGUUUCAGGCAAUCAUCUGGUCUGUCAAAACAUAAGUGCAAUCAUGCUGGGGAGAAACCAUGGAAAUGCGGGGACUGUGGGAAGGGAUUUAAAUCACCUUCAAAGCUGGAAAUGCACAGACGCAGUCACACUGGGGAGAGGCCAUUCACCUGCACCAGAUGUGGGAAAGGAUUCACUCAAUCAACUCAUCUCCUGAAACACCAGCGAAUCCACACAGGGGAGAGACCAUUUACCUGCUCUCAGUGUGGGAAAGGAUUCACUCAGUCAACUCACCUGCUGGGACAUCACCGUGUUCACACUGGGGAGAGGCCAUUUAUUUGCACUGAGUGUGGGAAGGGCUUCACUCACUCAUCCAACCUGCUAAAACAUAAACGAGUUCACACUGGAGAGAGGCCAUUCAUCUGCUCUGUGUGUGGGAAAGGAUUCACUCAGUUAUCCAGUUUGCUGUCACACCAGCGAGUCCACAUUGGGGAGAGGCCAUUUGCCUGCUCUGAGUGUGGGAGGAGAUUUGCUGUCUCAUCUGACCUGCUAACACACCAGCGUGUCCACAACGAAGAGGGACCUGAAGUGCUGUAAUACUUCUGGGGACCUGAUGUCCCAUCAAUGUGUUCACACUGACAAAAGACUAUUUAAAUGCUCUAACUGGGGCCUGGUUAAAACGAUCAUCUCAACUCCAUAGUACACCAGCGAUUUCACACUGGAGAGAGGACAUUUCAUUGUUCCCAGUGCAAGAAGUGAUACCCUCAGUUAUCCCAUUUGUUGAAACACUAGCGAGUUGAAAAGUGACUACAAACUUUGGAUUUUGUUAAUGGUUGGUAAGGAGGAGGUAUGGAAUGUUGUCUAUUAUUAAAGUUAAUUAUCAACUGAGACUGUAGAAGAUGCAUUCAAAUCAGGGACAUAAGAAUGGAAAUUGCAGAAUCAGUUGUCAAUAUUUUUUCAAUUCUAAUACUAUAUAAGGAUAGUAGAGAAUUGAAGAGUUUUUAAUUGAGAAGAGUUACAGGGAAAGUAGCCACACCUCAGGUACAAAUAAAAAGCAGAUGGGUUACAGUCAGGGGACGGAAAGGGAAUCAGCAGAUAGUGCAUGGUUCCCCUGUGGCCAUUCCUUUAAUAACAGUUAUAUUGUUUUGGAUACUGUUUGGCAGGGGUGACUUAUCAGGGGUAAGCCAUGGGGUACAGGUCUCUUGCACAGAAUCUGUCCCUGUUGCUCAAAUGGGAAAGAAGGGAAAGGAGCAGAGCAUUAGUCGCUGGGGACUCCUUAGUUAGGGGGACAGACAGGUUCUGUGGGAAUGAGAGAGACUCACAGUUGGUGUGUUGCCUCUUAGGAUCCAGGAUUCGGGAUAUCUCUGAUCGUGUUUUGGGAUUUUGGGGAGUGGGAGGGAGCAGCCCCAAAUUGUGGUCGACAUAGGUAUCAAUGACAUAUAUAAGAAAAGGGAUGGGGAUUUUAGGCAGAAAUUUAGGGAGCUAAGAAGCUUAGAGCUAGAACAAACAAAGUUUUUAUCUCUGGUUUGUUACCCGUGCCACAUGCUAACUAGACAAGGAAUAGGGGAGAGAGAGGCAUUGAACACGUGGCUACAGGAAUGGUGCAGGAAGAAGAGUUUCAAAUACUUGGAUAAUUGGGAGUAAGUGGGACCUCUGUAAACAGGAUGGUCGACACCUGAACCAGAAGGAUACCAAUAUUCUUGGGGGUGGGGGCUUGCUUAUACUCUUCGGGAGGGUUUAAACUAAUUCAUCAGGAGGAUGGGAACCUAAAUUGUAGUUCGAGUGACCAGGAGGUUGAGAAGUGACAUCAUAAAUAAUGUUUCAAUGUCACAAUGGUGUACCAGCAGGCAGGACGGUGGUUUGAAGUGUGUCUACUUCGAUGCCAGGAGCAUCCAGAAUAAGGUGGGUGAAUUUGCAGUAUGGGUUGGUACCUGAGACUUCGAUGUUGUGGCUGUUUCGAAGACAUGGAUUCAGCAGGGACAGGAAUGGUUGUUACAGGUUCUGGGAUUUAGAUGUUUCAUUGAGGACAGGAAAGAUGGUAAAAGAGGGAAGCUGUGGCGAUGUUAGUCAAGGACGGUAUUACAAUGGCUGAAAGGGUGUUUGAUGAGGACUCAUCUCCUGAGAUAGUGUGGGCUGAGGUUAGAAACAGGAAAGGAGAGGUCACCCUGUUGGGAGUUUCCUGUAGUCCUCCCAAAUGUUCCAGUGAUGUUGAGGAAAGGAUAGCAAAGAUGAUUCUGGAUAGGAGCGAGAGUAACGGUAGUGUAUUGACUGGAAAUACUAUAGUUCCAGUAUUUUAGAUGGAUUAGCUUUUGUCCAAUGUGUGCAAAAGGGUUUCCUGAUACACUAUGUAGACAGGCCAACAAGGGGUGAGGCCACAUUGGAUUUGGUAUUGGGUAGUGAACUAGACCAGGUGUUAGAUUUGGAGGUAGGUGAGCACUUUGGUGAAAGUGAUCCCAUUUCAGUGACAUUUACUUUAGCGAUAGAAAAGGACAGGUAUAUAUGCCAGGGCAAGAGUUAUAGCUGGGGGAAAGGCAAUUACGAUGCAAUUAGGCAAGAUUUAGGAUGCAUAGAAUGGGGAAGGAAGCUGCAAGAGGUAACACAAUUGAAAUGUGGAGCUUUUUGAAGGAACAGCUUCUGUGUGUUCUUGAUAAACAUGAAGCUGUCAGACAGGGAGGAAAUGGUUGAUCAAGGGAACCGUGGUUUACUAAAGAAGUUGAAUCUCUGGUCAAGAGGAAGAAGGAGGCUUAUGUGAGAAUGAGACAUGAAGGCUCAGUGAAGGUGCUUGAAGUUUCAAGUUAGCCAGGAUGGACCUACAGAGACGGCUUAGAAGAGCCAGGAGAUGACAUGAGAAGUCAUUGGCAGGUAAGUUCAAGGAAAACUUGGCCAUGCUAAAUUGCCAGUAGUGUUAGGUAAGAGGUAAAUGUAGGGGUAUGGGUGGGUUGCGCUUCGGCGGGUUGGUGUGGACUUGUUGGGCCAAAGGGCCUGUUUCCACACUGUAAGUAAUCUAAUCUAAAAAAAACCUAAAGUUUUCUAUAGGUAUAUCAGGAAUUAAAGAAUGACUAAAAUAAGAUUAGGGGCAAUCAAGGAUAAUAGUGGGAAGUUGUGCAUGGAGUCUGAGAAGAUCGGAGAGGCACAAAAUGAAUUCUUUUUUGUCAGUAUUCACACUGGAAAAAGACUAUUGUUAAGGAGAAUACUGAGUUACAGGUUAUUAGACUAGGUGGGAUUGAGGAGUAGUUGUUAGCAAUUCUGGAGAGUAUGAAAAUAGAUAAUCGCCAGAUUUAUCCUAGGAUUCUCUGGGAAGGUAGGGAGGAGAUUGCAAAAGCUUUUGAUCCUUAAUGUCGUCAUUGUCUACAGGAAUAGGGCUAGAAAACUGGAGGAUAGCAAAUGUUGUCCCCUUAUUCUAGAAGGGGAAUAGAGACAGUCCUGCUGGUUUUGGACCAAUAAGCCUUACCUCAGUUCCGGAUAAAGUGUUGGGAAGGGUUAGAAGAGAUUAGGAUUUAUAAUCAUCUAGAGAGGAAUAAGUUGAUAAGGGAUAGUCAACAUUGUUUUGUAAAGCGUAGGUCAUGCCUCACAAACAUUGCGUUCUUUGAGAAGGUGACCAAGCAGGUGGAUGAGGGUAAAAUGGUUGAUGUGGUGUACAUGGAUUUUAGUAAGACAUUUGAUACAGUUGCCCAUGGUAGGCUAUUGCACAAAACACCAAGGAAUGGAAUUGAGGGUGAUUUAGCGGUUUGGAUGGUGUACCACAAGGAUCUGUUUUGGGUCCGCUGCUAUUUGUCAUUUUUAUAAGUGACCUGGAUGAGGGCAUAGAAGGAUGGGUUAGUAAAUUUGCAGAUGACACUAAGGUCAAUGGAGUUGUCGAUAGUGACAAAGGUAGGUUACAAGAAGGAAAUAGAUAAGCUAGGAGAAAGUGAGGACUGCAGAUGCUGGAGACCGGAGUUGAAAAAUGUGAUGCUGGAAAAACACAGCAGGCCAGGCAGCAUCCGAGGAGCAGGAGAAUCGACGUUUCGGGUAUAAGCCCUUCUUCAGGCAUAAGCUGUAGAGCUGGGCUGAGAGGUGUCAAAUGGAGUUUAAAUGCGAAAAAGUGUGAGGCGAUUCACUUUGGAAGGAGUAACAGCAAUACAGAGUAUUGGCGUAAUAGUAAAAUUCAUGGCAGUGUGGAAUGGCAGAGAGGUCUGUGUCCAUGUACAUGAAUCCCUGAAAGUUGGCACCCAAGUUAAUAGGAUUGUUAAGGAGGCACACAGUGUGUUACCUUUUAUUAGCAGAGGGAUUGAGAUUUGGAACCAUAAGGUCAUGUUGCAGCUGUACAAAACUCUGGCGUGGCCACACUUUGAGUAUUGCAUACAGUUCUGGUCACCGCAUUAUAGGAAGGAAGUGGAAGCAUUGGAAAGGGUGCAGAGGAGAUUUACCAUGAUACUGUCUGGUAAAGAGGAAGGUCUUAUGAGGAAAGGUUGAGGGACUUGAGGCUGUUUUUUGUUAGAGAGAAAAAGGUUAAGGGUAGAGUUAACAGACGUAUAAGAUGAUCAGAAGAUUAGAUAGGUUGGACAAUGAGUGCCUUUUUUCCUCGGAUGAUGAUGGCUUAGCACAAGGGGACAUAGUUUUAAACUGAGGGGUGAUAGAUAUAGGACAGAUGUCAGAGGUAGCUUCUUAGAGUAGUAAGGGCAUAGAAUGGCCUGCCUGCAACAGUAGUAGACUCGCCACCUUUAAGGGCAUUUAAAUGGUCAUUGGAUAAACAUGGAUGAAAAUGGAAUAGUGUAGGUUAGAUGGGCUUCAGAUUGGUUUCACAGGUCGGCAUAACAUCAAAGACCAAAGGGCCUGUCCUGCGCUGCGUUGUUCUAUGUUCUAAACAUUACAGUGGGAUUAAAUCAGCUUAGUUUCAUUGGUAUUGAAACUUAGAAACGAUUUAUGUUAAACAAAUGGGCAACUGCUAAUUAAGAAAAGCCAGCAUAACCUUAAGGGGAUAUUGUAUCUCGCUAAAUUCUUGGCAUUGUCAAAGGGAUAACCAAGAAGAUUAAUCAACCCUAUGCUAUUGAUAUAAUGUACCGAACAUCCAAAAGGCAUUUGACAGUGUGAUUCACAAGAUUGUGAGCAAAGUUAGAACUCAUGGAA